CUCAUUUCAGCUGGGCAGGGAUUCAUGAACGAGGUGAAAGAAGAGAAACCCAACCGCUGCCACUGCCCUCUGUAAGGCCCACAGUGCCUGGACAGCUUCUGGGGAACAAGUAUCGUGAGCCCUUAGUCACCAGUGUGUGUAAUGGAUCACGAUGCAUUCACAGGGUCCUGCCUGCCACUUGUUUUGGAGGGAUGAGCCAGGG
rnacentral:lncRNA from 1 species